rnacentral:lncRNA from 1 species
AGUAGGGCCACAGGACGUGUUUCUGAGGCUCUGACAAUCCAUCUGAUGCUCGAGUCCCCUUGACCUUUGCCUUGAACCCUUCCUCACUCACCGGAAGCCGAGACUUCCUAGAUGAUGCUACAGAUUUCACUUGCCCGGAGCUCGAAGUUUUGGGAAGCCCUUGCUUACGGGCGGUGUCUCUUCUCCAGGCCUUGCACUCCCAGCUCCUGCAGCUAUGUCUCUGUGGAACAUGGUUCCCAUUCCCCUCCUUAACCUAGACACCUCCUUGCAUCACCUCUUACUUGUUCAGUUCCCUCCUAAGAGUCAAACAAGAGCCAAACACUGUUCUCCAGGCAUGGUGUGAUCUGCGGGGAGAAAAUGGGCUCUUCCACACUGUCAUCUGCUGCUGAGGACCACGGAGGGCUUCAUGGCGGCCUCCUCAAGCUGUUGCUGGAGCGAAGGCGUGCACACUUGCACACAAGUGUGAUGAACAAUGGUAAGAAGGCAAGCGUCAACUGUGUGUCCAGGGGAGGGGCUGCUCAUUCCCUCUGCAGCAUCUACUCUGGGCAGGCACCCUGCCAGGUGCAGACUGGCACAGAGAUGGGAACCAGACAGACGCCAGAGGACCCUGCCCUGUCCGCCAGGAGCUGUGGUCUCACACUCGUGGGAUGAACGUGAUGGCAAGGUAGGUCCAGCGGCUCAUAGUAAGUAUGUGCGCCAGUCCGGCUGGAGCAGAUGCUAGGGCUCAGCGGGAGCUCCUGGAAGCACACCUUUGUCACCUUCUUACUUCCCUUCAUCUUGGACUCAGCCAUGCAAUCAACAACUACAUCCUGUUGGUUAUUUCUUCUCACCGUAUGUGGCCUCCACCCUGACUUCCCACCCCACUGCUCCUGCCACACCGCAGGCCUCGUCCCUUGCGUCCUGCAAUAGCCCCCUUCCUAGUCUCCUGCCUCCAGUUUGUGCCCCUACCCCCUAACCUACAUAUCUCAGCCCGCUUAGUCUGCCUACAGGACUUCUUUAGCCAUGUCACCCUUCUGUCCCCACACCUUCCUUGGCCCUUGUGACCUACAGGAUAAACUCUGUCUGGCUUUGAAACCCUCGAUCCCACCCAACUCCUCACCACCCACCUUUUCUGCUCUGUUCUAUGGGAAUCCUGUUCCCGACCAAUGACUCAUCGCAUUUCCAGAUCUUUCCAUUCUUUUCUAAGCUCAAUUCAAUCAAGCCUAAAACCAUUUUAAAUAGCUCUUCGCUUCCUCUGAAGUCCUAUAGCGUAUGUCUUAAUCACUCAUUUAUGUGAAAGCAAAAUUUUGUUGCUAAGGCACACAAGGUAGACUUUGGCCAGGCAGUAUUUUUAUUUAUACAAGGGCUCAGCGUGUACACAGAUAUCUUUAUACCCCUGCAACCCUCUCCAUUUCCUUUGUGUACAUUCGGGUUAGUGGAGGUAGUGAACAGCUGUUGUUUUCACCUGUCCAACAUCUCUUCCUCAUCUUUUGCCCCAUCACCUUUCUGCCCCUCUUUUAUAUAGUUUGGGUGGGGCUGGCCAUCCCUCUCCACGGCCCGGGCACAUGAUCCGGUCUGGUCAAGAUUACAGUAUUCUAGUCCCUUGCCCACAGUGAUUGGUUCUGGGGUGAGCAAGGGCCCUAAGUCAGCCCAAUGAGAGUCAGCCUUGGAAUUUAG